rnacentral:tRNA from 1 species
CGCGGGGUGGAGCAGAAGGUAGCUCGUCGGGCUCAUAACCCGAAGGUCGUCGGUUCAAAUCCGGCCCCCGCAACCA